CUCCGGGACCGAGUCUCAUUAAAAUAGAAUGGCACUUGUGUAAUGUAGGGACUCAGCAUACGCUUCCCAUGACCCGUGUUGAGCUUGGAUUAUACGAAAGAAAUGUUUCUACCUGGGCUGAAAAUGUCUUUGAGUUCAACAAGAAACAAAUCGGAUACUGUUUGUAAUAUUAUUUUAAUUUGUUGACUACAUGAAUGAGGAUCAAAAUGCUUUUUGAAGCAUGAAAUUGAUCAAAUGCAACAGGAGUCACAAAUUGAGAAAAGUUUGGUCAUUUUGGUUUGUGCCUGUCUGUACAAACUCCUCCUAAGGUCCUACACCAGUCUUUACCACAUGAUUUACUCUUUAUAAUGGGCUCGUACAACAAAGAGCAGUUAGUCAUUUCAUUGAGGGUAAAACGAUCUGUACAAAAAAUCAGAUGCAGAAGAAGAAAAUGUUUACUAUGUUCUUUUUCUUCUUCUUUACUUUACACAUCAUCUUCGUAGCCCACAAAACCUUUGCAUUAUUUUAUUACACUUAACCUAAACCUAAGCUUAAGCCCUCUUCAACCUAAAAUGUAUUGAUUUACUUAGAAGGUCCUGCAAUUUUUCUUAUUUUGUACCCAAAAAGGGCACAAUUUGACACAGUAUUCAGAUUUAUGUCCCUACAAGAUAAAUCCCUCACACAAACACACACACAGUGUGCUCUCCCUCUCUUUUCUGUGCGUGUGCGUACAAAAGUGUGUGUGUGUGUGUGUGACAUUGCCUUAAGGAGACAUGGGACAAAAAUGACAAAUGUUUUUUUAAACUCUUAGUGACAGACUAUAGAAAUGUGUUGUGUGUUUUUAUGUGUCAAGAGAAGAGAGCACAUACUAUACAAUAGAUGUGUUGUAGCCCCAGUAUGAUCCUUCCCUAAUGGGUCAUGCUUAAUCUCCACAGCCAAUAGAAGUCUCUUCAGGAAACUGCAAUAUAUCUACUGCCAACUUGAGCAACUUUGGGAUGAACUUUUUAAUAUCAUCCUCAUCUUUUCAAUUCUUAACUGUUAUAUGUCUGAUGAAGCAAAAGGCCCGUCGCAAAAUUAUUAUCUUUCUGAGACGCAUUUCAAGAAUGACCUUGAAAAUUAAAUCGUUAUCAUUUAUUGGUGAGAAGAUCAUUGCUCCUCCUAUUUCAUUUCAUUUCAUUUACUUUCUAGAUUCACAGUGCAAAAGUAAGAGCUGUGAUUCAAUUUCCUUUUAUUAUCCUCUUGGAAAGAUUUCAGAAAUUUAAUUUCUCAUCUAUUUAAAAAUAAAAAUGUUUUCAGUAGAAGUGAUUUUCACCCUAACAUCAUGUCCAUGCACAGAUAUGUUUAUAGUUGUAUCUUAUUCACAGUUAUGGAAAAUAAAAGAAAGAAAUGUCUCAACCUCCUAAAAAAAAAAGUAUAAAUAAGUAUCUAUCUGAGUUUACGUGUAUUCUAAUUGUUUGUUUUUAACCAAAGACUCAUUGAGUUAAAAGUUCAGUCAACAGCCGUGAUAGGCCCUUACAGCAAGGCUUCACUGGGAAUAGUCCCUCAAUUUUUCAGUUCCUACUAUUAACUUACCAUUUAAAUACUGUAUCUGUGUCUGUGUGUGUGUGUGUGUCAAUGAGUUUGAGUCGUUUUAUAUUUGUAUGUGUGCGUCUGUAACAAAUGAUCUAAUGCAACCCUUAAAUUUAUGACAAAUGUUUCAUACAGUUAAAUCGCUCAAUCGCAUUCAGUUUUCAUAAGAAGCCUGAGACCACAUGCACGCACACAAAUGCACACAAGAAUAAUAACCCUUAAAAAUAAUUAUCAUCACUCAUUGUGGCUUCCACUCCUCAGAGAUUCUUGUGUCCACCGUGUGUGUAUUUGUGUGUGAGGUUGUGCAUAUAAUUUCCUUGUUAAACAAUCACGUUUUGUGGUUCAUCCUGUGUGCGUGUGUGUGUUUGUGUGUCUGUGUGCUGGUUUUUGAUGUGGCUUUGUUCAACAGAAAAACAAGCUUUUAAGUUUCACAGAGAAAAUCCUCAAAUCCCCAAAUGGAUUGAUAAUUACAAACAGGACAAGACCAAUACGUGUAACUGUGUGUGUGUGUGUGUGUGUGUGUGUGUGUAACUUUGUGUGUGUGUGUGUGUGUGUGUGUGUGUGUGUGUGUGUGUGUGUGUGUGUGUGUGUGUCGUGGGGUUGUAGCCAAACAUGUUUUAUGCGUUUCUAUGGAACUAUAAUGACAAAUUCCUGCCACCGCUCAAGUAGAAGUAAGAAAGCUUCAGGAGAGAGGACAGAGAGACGGCCGGUGAUUUACAUUGUGAGAUGAGCAAAAACAAUAGAAACCAAAGAGAUGGAGAGAAAACCAGCAAGAUGGGGAAAAAAACGUGAUAAAGACAUUUUAAUAGAGAGGAAGUGAAAAUCUUGAAUAAUAUUAACUAGCUCUUUGAUGCCAGAUGCUAAGCCAGGAUGGUUUCAUUUAGAGCCAUUACAAUGUUUCUUUGCAUUACCGAAAGCCUCUGCCUUGGCAGAAUAGGCGAUUCUUAAGUGGUUUCAAUCUUUAUAUGAGCCAAAAAUCUAUUAAUUGUAACCGUAAAGAGCUUUUGUUGUGUGCGCAUAAUCUGUUUCCUUUCUCAAUUUCUGUAAUGUUUUGAUUUAAAUGUGCGAAACUGCAGCACAUUCAAAAGGGCUUAAGAAGUAUUGUUGAUGGUUGGCUGUCAUGCCGAGGAAGCAUCUUUUGAUGAGAAAAUGA
ensembl:lncRNA